GAUGAACGCUGGCGGCGUGCCUAAUACAUGCAAGUCGAGCGAACAGACGAGGAGCUUGCUCCUCUGUCGUUAGCGGCGGACGGGUGAGUAACACGUGGGUAACCUACCUAUAAGACUGGGAUAACAUCGGGAAACCGGAGCUAAUACCGGAUAAUACAUUGUAUCGCAUGGUUCAUCAGUGAAAGACGGUUCUGCUGUCACCUACAGAUGGAUCCGCGCCGCAUUAGCUAGUUGGUAAGGUAACGGCUUACCAAGGCAACGAUACGUAGCCGACCUGAGAGGGUGAUCGGCCACACUGGAACUGAGACACGGUCCAGACUCCUACGGGAGGCAGCAGUAGGGAAUCUUCCGCAAUGGACGAAAGCCUGACGGAGCAACGCCGCGUGAGUGAUGAAGGUCUUCGGAUCGUAAAACUCUGUUAUUAGGGAAGAACAAGUGUGUAAGUAACUAGGCACGUCUUGACGGUACCUAAUCAGAAAGCCACGGCUAACUACGUG
rnacentral:rRNA from 1 species